UGGAGAGUUUGAUCCUGGCUCAGGACGAACGCUGGCGGCGUGCCUAAUACAUGCAAGUCGAACGCUUCUUUUUCCACCGGAGCUUGCUCCACCGGAAAAAGAGGAGUGGCGAACGGGUGAGUAACACGUGGGUAACCUGCCCAUCAGAAGGGGAUAACACUUGGAAACAGGUGCUAAUACCGUAUAACAAUCAAAACCGCAUGGUUUUGAUUUGAAAGGCGCUUUCGGGUGUCGCUGAUGGAUGGACCCGCGGUGCAUUAGCUAGUUGGUGAGGUAACGGCUCACCAAGGCCACGAUGCAUAGCCGACCUGAGAGGGUGAUCGGCCACAUUGGGACUGAGACACGGCCCAAACUCCUACGGGAGGCAGCAGUAGGGAAUCUUCGGCAAUGGACGAAAGUCUGACCGAGCAACGCCGCGUGAGUGAAGAAGGUUUUCGGAUCGUAAAACUCUGUUGUUAGAGAAGAACAAGGAUGAGAGUAACUGUUCAUCCCUUGACGGUAUCUAACCAGAAAGCCACGGCUAACUACGUGCCAGCAGCCGCGGUA
rnacentral:rRNA from 1 species